rnacentral:rRNA from 1 species
GAUGAACGCUGGCGGCGUGCUUAACACAUGCAAGUCGAACGGAAAGUCGUGGUUCCUGUGGCGUGCGCGUGAGUAGCGCGUGAGAGCCUGACCUGGGGAGGGGAACCAUAGCUGGAAGCGGCUGCUAAUACCCCGUGGGCUGAGGAGCAAAAGGAGUAAUGCGCCCGAGGGGGGGCUGGCGUCUGAUUGGCUAGUUGGUGAGGCAAGAGCUUACCAAGGCGAUGGUUAGUAGCGGGUCCGAGAGGAUGAUCAGCCACACUGGGACGGGAACACGGAGCAGACUACGAUGGGAAGCAGCAGGGGGGAUUGCUCAGCAAUGGGGGGAGGGCUGAGGGAGCAAUGCGGCCGGGAGGUAGAGGGACGAGGGGUAGUGAACUGUUUUUCCCGGAGAAGAAGCAAUGACGGUAUCUGGUGAAUAAGCAUCGGCUAACUCUGUG